rnacentral:rRNA from 1 species
GACGAACGCUGGCGGCGUGCUUAACACAUGCAAGUCGAACGGAAAGGCCCUGCUUUUGUGGGGUGCUCGAGUGGCGAACGGGUAGUAACACGUGAGUAACCUGCCCUUGACUUUGGGAUAACUUCAGGAAACUGGGGCUAAUACCGGAUAGGAGCUCCUGCUGCAUGGUGGGGGUUGGAAAGUUUCGGCGGUUGGGGAUGGACUCGCGGCUUAUCAGCUUGUUGGUGGGGUAGUGGCUUACCAGGGCUUUGACGGGUAGCCGGCCUGAGAGGGUGACCGGCCACAUUGGGACUGAGAUACGGCCCAGACUCCUACGGGAGGCAGCAGUGGGGAAUAUUGCACAAUGGGCGGAAGCCUGAUGCAGCAACGCCGCGUGCGGGAUGACGGCCUUCGGGUUGUAAACCGCUUUCGCCUGUGACGAAGCGUGAGUGACGGUAAUGGGUAAAGAAGCACCGGCUAACUACGUG